GGACAAUGUGCUUGAGAAGUCUGUGAAUUCACCCAUUUCAAGAUGCAGUGAAGAUGGAAAGCAUGGUUGCAUACACCCCAAAUUAAGGGGCAAUCAUCUCCAGGUAGUUUACAAUCAGGACAACAUCCAUCAAAGGCCAUCCUACAGAUCCCACAUGUUUCAUCUUGAGCAUCCCAAGUCCAUGACGCAACAGCAUGCCACUCUGUUUAGAAGCCACGGUUG
rnacentral:misc_RNA from 1 species